rnacentral:rRNA from 1 species
GACGAACGCUGGCGGCGUGCUUAACACAUGCAAGUCGAACGAAGUGGAGAACGGGUGAGUAACGCGCAAUCAACCUGCCCUUCAGAGGGUGACAACAGUUGGAACCGACUGCUAAUACCGCAUACUGAAGGUGGGGAUUGCGUCUGAUUCGCUAGUUGGAGGGGUAACGGCCCACCAAGGCGCAGAUCAGUAGCCGGGCUGGGAGGAUGAACGGCCACAUUGGGACUGAGACACGGCCCAGACUGCUACGGGAGGCAGCAGUUGGGAAUCUUCCGCAAUGGACGAAAGUCUGACGGAGCAACGCCGCGUGAGUGAUGACGGCCGUCGGGUUGUAAAGCUCUGUUAAUCGGGACGCGGUACCGGAAUAGAAAGCCACGGCUAACUACGUGCCAGCCGCCGCGGUAAUAC